rnacentral:misc_RNA from 1 species
AACUUAUGACAACGGAUCACUUGGCUCUCGCAGCGAUGAAGAACGCAGCGAAAUGCGAUAAGUAAUGUGAAUUGCAGAAUUCAGUGAAUCAUCGAAUCUUUGAACGCAUCUUGCGCCCCUUGGUAUUCCGAGGAGCAUGCCUGUUUGAGUGUCAUUUGACCUUCUCUCAACCAUAUCAGUCAAUGAUGUGGCUUGGAUGUGGGGUUGCAGGCUUCCGAGUAUGAAAGUCCAGCUCCCCUGAAAUGCAUUAGUGGUAUCUGUCUGAGCUGCUAUUUGGUGUGAUAACUUAUCUAUGCCUUUUUGGUGAUCAGCACCGCUUAUAACCAUCGAUUUGACAAAUUUGACCUCAAAUCAGGUAGGACUACCCGCUGAACUUAAGCAUAUAAUAAGCGGAGGCU